CCUUUCCAGCCAGAGAGGUGACAUUCCAUGUCCCAAGAGCCAGCUUCUGCAGCCGGGGAUCGGACCACCAAGGUACCCGCCUUUGGCCACCUCCCAGCUCACUUAGCACCUGACCCCUUUGGCCCCUCCUACAGGUGAUGAGCCCAUGGGAAGGGGGACCCACGUCUCAUUUUCGGGCUGUGCCCGGCCGGGCCCCAUGGGCGAAGGCCCGGCCACCAGAUGCUUGCCUUCGAGCCCCACCUCCAGGCCUGGCUCCAGAGGGGGGCCCCGGUGACCCACGUCCGGGCGAUGGAAAAUGAAGUCCAUUUAUGUUUUUCUUCAUAAGGGGCUUCUGUGAGCUGUGCUUUGUCUGGCCCCUCACCUAGGACCCUUUUGCCAUGGGUGACCCUACCAGGGGCAUGAAUCCCCAGACAACAUGGCUCCUAGGAUCAUUGGGACACGCAAACCCCUCCACCACGAUAAGGUGGCUUUGUUUUCCCAGGACAGUCAAAAUGGGGGAGACCACUUCCUGCUCGCGCACAAGUGCAGGAGACAAAUUGUGUGAGGCAAAGCUUCACGACCAUCGAGUACUCCAGUCGCGAUUAUUAUGCGUUGGCUUUAGACAGUCGCCACGGCUGCCCCGUGCAGGCAGGCCGACAGACGGAGGCGUGGCUGCUGAUGCGCACCAAGGACCCUCCGACUGCCACCAAACGAGCGGCAAGCUCAGCGGGAUUCGAAUGGCCGACCCUCCGCUUAUUGCUGCCGCCUGAGUCCCAAAUGGCAAGACGUAUGUUUAAACUAGCGGGGUCCAUCCCGAGGCUCGCGAACCAACACGGUUCGCUCUCAAAGCAGUCAGAAGCGGGGGGUUGAGGGUCAACGACAUUUGCCAUGAUGUGUGGGGACGAUCUUACUCAGCAUCCCGCCACUAGGGAGCGCUAUCGGUUUCCACGUCAAGGAGAUCUGCUCAACAACUAGGAGUACAAUUGCUGCCAAGAGAUGGUGCCAUUCAAUUGCGACCAGGGUCUCUACUGGGCCAUUGUCUUUUGGUUCACCAACGACAACAUUUGAUAUGCGAAGGCUCGAUUGGCAUUUUUGUAUGUACUCAAGAGUUGUCAAACGAUACGCCAUGUUCCAAAGUCACCAGCUAUAAAGCAAAGCAAAUUUAAGCUUCAAUGUCAUCGACCGC